UUUGACUUGGUUUUACAAAAACAUAGCCCUAGAUAACAUCUAAGGUGUAACCUGCCCAAUGACUUUAAAAUUAAAAUUCAUAAAAGUUAUUUAAUAAAGUUUAAAGGACGCAGUAACCUUGACUGUGAUAAUGUAGCAUAAUCACUCGCCAUUUAAUUGAUGGAUAGUAUGAAUGGUUGAACGAAUAUUCCACUGUCUUAAAAAGAAAUACCAAAAAAUUAAAAUAAUAGUUAAGAUGCUAUUUAAAAUUGUAAGACGAAAAGACCCUAUAGAGCUUAACUAUAAUCUCUUUUAUCAAUAGAAAAAAAACUUUCAAAAAUAAAGAGAUUGGUAGUUUAGUUGGGGCGACUAUCUUUUAUAUAUAACAAAGAGAAGCAAAGUUAAUAAAAAACUUAUUGUAUAAUAAAUUAAUUUAACAAUUACAAAAGUAGGCUAUAAUGACCCGUUAUAUACUAAUAAAAAUUAUAACGAUCAAUAAAUAAAAGCUACCUUAGGGAUAACAGGAUAAUUUCAUUCUAGAGAUCAUAUCGAAAAUGAAGUUUGUCACCUCUAUGUUGAAUUAAGAUAUCCUGACAAUGCAGAAGUGUCAACAGGUAGCUCCGUCGACGUUCUCCUG
rnacentral:rRNA from 1 species